ACCAGACUCCUACGGGAGGCAGCAGUGGGGAAUAUUGCACAAUGGGGGGAACCCUGAUGCAGCGACGCCGCGUGAGCGAAGAAGUAUCUCGGUAUGUAAAGCUCUAUCAGCAGGGAAGAAAAUGACGGUACCUGACUAAGAAGCUCCGGCUAAAUACGUGCCAGCAGCCGCGGUAAUACGUAUGGAGCAAGCGUUAUCCGGAUUUACUGGGUGUAAAGGGUGCGCAGGUGGCAGGGCAAGUCAGAUGUGAAAGCCCGGGGCUCAACCCCGGUAUUGCAUUUGAAACUGUCCGGCUAGAGUGCAGGAGAGGUAAGCGGAAUUCCUAGUGUAGCGGUGAAAUGCGUAGAUAUUAGGAGGAACACCAGUGGCGAAGGCGGCUUACUGGACUGUAACUGACGUUGAGGCUCGAAAGCGUGGGGAGCAAACAGGAUUAGAUACCCGCGUA
rnacentral:rRNA from 1 species